UGAUGAUCACGAUGCAGAAGCAUCCCCCAG
rnacentral:piRNA from 1 species